AGUGAACGCUGGCGGUAGGCCUAACACAUGCAAGUCGAACGGCAGCACAGUAAGAGCUUGCUCUUACGGGUGGCGAGUGGCGGACGGGUGAGGAAUACAUCGGAAUCUACUUUUUCGUGGGGGAUAACGUAGGGAAACUUACGCUAAUACCGCAUACGACCUACGGGUGAAAGCAGGGGAUCUUCGGACCUUGCGCGAUUGAAUGAGCCGAUGUCGGAUUAGCUAGUUGGCGGGGUAAAGGCCCACCAAGGCGACGAUCCGUAGCUGUUCUGAGAGGAUGAUCAGCCACAAUGGAACUGAGACAAGGUCCAGACUCCUAAGGGAGGCAGAAGUGGGGAAUAUUGGACAAUGGGCGCAAGCCUGAUCCAGCCAUACCGCGUGGGUGAAGAAGGCCUUCGGGUUGUAAAGCCCUUUUGUUGGGAAAGAAAAGCAGCAGGUUAAUACCCCGCUGUUCUGACGGUACCCAAAGAAUAAGCACCGGCUAACUUCGUG
rnacentral:rRNA from 1 species